CGCCUGUUUAUCAAAAACAUCGCCUCUUGCAAAAUAAAGAAUAAGAGGUCCCACCUGCCCGGUGACACCAAUUUAACGGCCGCGGUAUCCUGACCGUGCGAAGGUAGCGUAAUCAUUUGUCUUUUAAAUGGGGACUUGUAUGAAUGGUAUAACGAGGGCUUAACUGUCUCCUCCCUCUUGUCAAUGAAAUUGAUCUCCCCGUGCAGAAGCGGGGAUACUCUCAUAAGACGAGAAGACCCUAUGGAGCUUUAGAUACUAAGGUAGACCAUAUUCCAUAACCCCUUGUUAAAGGAGUAAAUCUAUGCUAAUCCUACCCCUAUAUCUUCGGUUGGGGCGACAAUGGGGAAAUAAAAAUCCCCCAUGCGGAACGGGAAAAUUUUAUCUAAGAAAUUAUUCUUACCAUAAAGCUACUUCCCCAAAUUAAGAGUGACAACUCUAAAUUACAGUAUUUCUGACCAUAAAUGAUCCGGCAUUUGCCGAUUAACGGACCAAGUUACCCUAGGGAUAACAGCGCAAUCCCCUUUUAGAGCCCACAUCAACAAGGGGGUUUACGACCUCGAUGUUGGAUCAGGACAUCCUAUUGGUGCAGCCGCUAUUAAGGGUUCGUUUGUUCAACGAUUAAAGUCCUACGUGAUCUGAGUUCAGACCGG
rnacentral:rRNA from 1 species